rnacentral:rRNA from 1 species
UACGGAGGGUGCAAGCGUUAUCCGGAUUCACUGGGUUUAAAGGGAGCGUAGGUGGAUAUGUAAGUCAGUGGUGAAAUCCCCGAGCUUAACUUGGGAACUGCCGUUGAUACUAUAUAUCUUGAAUGUCGUAGAGGUAAGCGGAAUAUGUCAUGUAGCGGUGAAAUGCUUAGAUAUGACAUAGAACACCAAUUGCGAAGGCAGCUUACUAUGCGAUUAUUGACACUGAGGCUCGAAAGCGUGGGUAGCAAACAGG